GCGUGAUUUCUCGUCUGAGAGUUUCUUGUCUUUCACCUUCUCAAUACUUAAUGAUGCCUCGCUCUCCCAUUCCUUCCUGACAUUCACCAAACCACUAUAGGCAUCUUUUGAUGGACACAGAAAAUAUUUCAAAAUGCAAAGCAACUCGGUCAAUCCAAGAUCUGGAGCAUGUUUAAUACUCAAAGCAAGCAAAUCAGACCUCUUUUUAACCACAAGACUUGUUAUCAAAUUUGAAUAACAUAUUCGAUCAACAAUGCCUUUUACAAUCGAAG
rnacentral:misc_RNA from 1 species